AUUGAACGCUGGCGGCAGGCUUAACACAUGCAAGUCGAGCGAGUGGCGGACGGGUGAGUAAUGUCUGGGAAACUGCCUGAUGGCGUGGGAUAACUACUGGACACGUUAGCUCAUACCGUCUACCAUCGUCUCUGCCCAUAUGGGAUUAGCUAGUGGGUGGGGUAAAGGCUCACCUAGGCGACGAUCCCUAGCUGGUCUGAGAGGAUGACCAGCCACACUGGAACUGAGACACGGUCCAGACUCCUACGGGAGGCAGCAGUGGGGAAUAUUGCACAAUGGGCGCAAGCCUGAUGCAGCCAUGCCGCGUGUAUGAAGAAGGCCUUCGGGUUGUAAAGUACUUUCAGCGGGGAGGCGUUACCCGCAGAAGAAGCACCGGCUAACUCCGUGCCAGCAGCCGCGGUAAUUC
rnacentral:rRNA from 1 species